UACGGAGGGGGCUAGCGUUGUUCGGAAUUACUGGGCGUAAAGCGCACGUAGGCGGCUUUGUAAGUUAGAGGUGAAAGCCUGGGGCUCAACCCCAGAAUUGCCUUUAAGACUGCAUCGCUUGAAUCCAGGAGAGGUGAGUGGAAUUCCGAGUGUAGAGGUGAAAUUCGUAGAUAUUCGGAAGAACACCAGUGGCGAAGGCGGCUCACUGGACUGGUAUUGACGCUGAGGUGCGAAAGCGUGGGGAGCAAACAGG
rnacentral:rRNA from 1 species